rnacentral:rRNA from 1 species
AUUGAACGCUGGCGGCAGGCCUAACACAUGCAAGUCGAACGGUAACAGGAAGAAGCUUGCUUCUUUGCUGACGAGUGGCGGACGGGUGAGUAAUGUCUGGGAAACUGCCUGAUGGAGGGGGAUAACUACUGGAAACGGUAGCUAAUACCGCAUAACGUCGCAAGACCAAAAAGGGGACCCUCGGGCCUCUUGCCAUCGGAUGUGCCCAGAUGGGAUUAGCUAGUAGGUGGGGUAACGGCUCACCUAGGCGACGAUCCCUAGCUGGUCUGAGAGGAUGACCAGCCACACUGGAACUGAGACACGGUCCAGACUCCUACGGGAGGCAGCAGUGGGAAUAUUGCACAAUGGGCGCAAGCCUGAUGCAGCCAUGCCGCGUGUAUGAAGAAGGCCUCGGUUGUAAGUACUUCAGCGGGAGAGGAGUAAGUAAUACCUUUAGUCU